CAGAGUGACCCUGGAGCUUACAAGGCCGCCAAAGACCUCUCUUCUACCCUCCGCCCCACUUCUUUUCCUCCUUUUAAGCUUCCUCAGUGGGCAGGUUUGGAGCUGGUACUAGAGCUUGCUAAGAGCCUUUUCCUGCCGACCUUUCUGCAAGUUAGGCGGCUUUUUUAAAAAAAUACUUCAAAGCCAGACUUCCUCCAUUGGAAAUGCUGUAGGUCCUAGAGAACAUGAUGGAGUGGGGGCAUGUUCUUGAUUUCUGUGACAAGCAAGAGACAUGUCCCCUUACUUAAUAUGAUAAGAUGGGUGUGGAGGUACUAGAGUAUUCCUUUAAAACAUUUUCCUCCAACCUGGUGCCCUCCAGUUGUUUUGCUAUGCAACCUCCACCAUCUCUGACCAUGAACCAUGCUUGCUGGGGCUGAUGGGAAACACAGUUCCAAACAUCUGGAGGGAGUCUGGUUGGGAAAGGCUGCUUAAAUCUUUAAAAGCCUAUUCAAUUUGAUAAUUUGAGGGCUGCCCUGCCCAUUCAUUUAAACUCUGUCUUCUCUCUUUCUCUUCCCAUCCCUGUCUUUGGAAAAUGUGUUGGGGGGGGGGGAUUGUAGAGUCUGACUAAACUGCUGCCAUCUCUGUACAAUACAGAAGACAGAUUUCUUUUAUUCCCUUGUGUUCUGGAGAAAUGAUAUGCUGGAACAAGACAGCCAAAAGAAAUGGAAGGGAGAGAAGAGUACUGUGUCAAAACUGUCAGGCUUCAGUCUUGUGACAGAGGGAGGAAGGCUCCCUUAGUUGGGAUUAUUUUAAAAGUAGAAAUGUGCACUCUUUUUUCCUUGAUUGGUUCUUAACUGAUGAGUUGUUUAAGUUUGACCAGUUUGGAGAAAAAUGAUUUUUCUUAUUAAAGUACAGUAAUGUUUCAAUGUUGGACAUGUAUACUCAGUUGUAAGCAUGGCUGGCUUACUAAUGUUGUAUUUGAGUGAACUCAGGAUUGAUCAGGUUGUCUUCAUAUUCUCAUAUGUACUUUUAUGAAGAGCGCUACUUAACUCUUACUUAAUUUGAUAUAGGUUAUUAAGAUACUACCUCUAAAACACAUUUGCAUUUGGAUUUACUUAUUUUUCUCUAUAGUUCAAAGGUAUGUAUUAAAGUUGUGGCUUUUGCUGUGCACUGCUGCUGAAAGAAUAGGGUGUGGCCUGGAUGAAUGUUCUGAAAUUGCUUUAAUUACUGAGAUUGAAAAUAGGUAGCCCUUUCUACAAUCUCAUUACUUUAACAUUUAGAUGCUCAAUUGGUUUGAGUUUUCUGGUGUUAUGGAAAUAGGCUUGCAGAUAAUGGGUUCCAUGGUUGCUGUCUUAAUUGUUAGUGGAUUUAUUGCAAAUUUUAACAUGAUCAAUGAGAUGUGCGAGUUCCAUAGCAGAGUAGAUGGUAGCAACAUGUUCCAUACAUAUACCAAUUCUAGCAUUCUUUUUCUGUACAAACAGUCCCAAGGUAAUGAGUUCUGGUCUUGAGAAAACAGAAAUUUGUCUUUAAGUCAAAUUUGUAUAUAAGUUGGAUCACAUAUAGUUGGCUCUCUACAUUUGCAGGAUUUAGGGAUGUGGGAGUCCUGGGAAAGUGGCAAAACUGUAACAAGCUCUGCUAAACUCACCAGUGCCUCAUCUUGCAAUGAGGAAAUACCAGAAAGAUUUCCCUCUCCAGAUGAGUGAGGCAGACUUUGGAGGCCUCCCUUUUUUCCUUUUUGCAUCCUCUCUGUGAUGAAGCUUUGGAGGCCCUCCCUCUCUUCCCUUUUGCUUUUUCUCUUUCUAUGGUGAUAAUGAUUUUCUGCAGGUUUUUUUUAAUUAAUAGGCGUUAUGGAAGUUAGUUUGUAAGUACGUCUUUGCUGUAAUAUGGAUGUUUGGAUUGCCUGUAAUGAUAUUUGAUAGUUGUCUUGCAGUUCCAGGUCUGGGUGGCAUGCAACUGCACAAAAUUGGUAACAGGAAGUCUAGACAAGAAGUCUGUUUUUUCUAUUGAGCUUAGUUAAUAUUUAGGUAGAGAGCUGCAGUUCUGUUUAUGGUGAAACAAUUUGCCACACCCACAAUAUAUUAGUCUGCCUCUAACUAUGUUGUAUAAGUGUACAGAGGUAUAUGGACAAAUAUCUAAUGUCCUGGGACCAAGUUAAGCAGAUCUUUAACAUCAGUAAACAUUACAUGCACUAACAUUUUCUGUAAAAAAUUGGAACCAAACUUUUCCUUUCCCCCUCCCUACUGCAACCUCCCAUGUGUUCCUGAAAUCACUUCAAAGAAUUUCAUAACUCUCUGAAGGGAGAAUCCAUUUGAUUGACACACAUCAUUCAAUUUCUGGACAGUCAGCAUUGGACUUCACCUUAGCCUUCUCUCCUAUUUUCUCACAAUAGGCAAGAGUAGUGCACAAAAUUGAUCCAGUUUAUCACAUUUGAAACAUUUGUUGCCAUCUAUAUAUCUCAAAAUAAUUUUUGUUAUUGUUGGCAUUUCGAUAAAAAAGCAGCCUAACCAAAUUUGGUUAAUUGGCCAGCCAAAUUCUGUCUGCAUUCAUUUUUCAGAAUAGCAUCAUGGAAUAGUAUAAUGAUGACAAUGACAAAAGCUAUUGUCAUAUAGUAGACUCCAGAGUAUGCUUCAUCCCAGAAACAUGGUCCUGCCAGAUUAUGAGGGAUGCCCCUUGUUUCCAUAAAGGGUUUGUAGUAUUUGACUUGUAGGCACUUGUUACUUAGCAGGUGGUCAAUAGAAGCUAGGAUGAAUGUCAGUAGAGAAGUGGUUCUGGAGACCCUUGGAUAGUCAGCUUCCUACUAAUUAGAGUCAUAUGCAUGUGUAAUCCACUGUUAGGCUUUCCAUCUGGGAACCAAACCCCAAUUACAACUGUAGGCUAACCUUUAUGUAAAAGCAUACUUUACUUCAGGGGUGGGCAGGUGUUUCUCCUGGUGCUUUAGACCAGACUCUCAACAUUCAGACAAUUGGUCAUACUGACAAAGAUUCCUGGAAUGUUGAAAUCCACAACAUUUGGUGAUCUACCUUCCACCGACCCACCUUGCUUCUUUUCAUAGAAUAUGACUGUUGUCAAAUAAAAGAUCAUCAGCAGACCAAUGAACUAAGUGGUAUUUUCAGACCUAAAUUUUGUUCAUUAAUGUGUAGCAAAAGUAGAUUGCAUUUUUAAUUGCCCCUUUCCAAGCAAUUUAUUCAUGAAGUUUUGUAAAUAAAUCUGCUUAGGUUACUAAACUCUAAAACUUGGUGUAAUUGUUAUAAUAGUUUGCUGUUUGAUACAUGGACUUUUCUAAUUAAAUUCAAGGCACCAUAGAUGAUCCUGCAGUUUAUGUAAAAAUAACUUUUAAAGUUAAACAAAAACAAAACCAUCCAGAUAACCAGAGGUUAAAAAUACAAUUGCUGUAUUUGAGAACAUAACCAGUUUUUCAGGGUCAAAAUGCUAUGGUGGAAAAUACUCCAAAUAUACAAAUAGUUGUUGAAACUUCAAGAUAGAGCUGGACAUGGAUUUUUGUAGAAUUGGGCCAUUUAUAUUUGUAGUACUUUGUUUUACUACUACAUGCUAAUCAUACUUACAGUUUACGCAAUCAAAACAAACUACACUGGCUUAAAUAAUAGGCUUGUUGUGAGCUGCUAUGUAUGCUGGCACAGUGGGUGGGAUUUUCAUAAUCAUGCCUAUGGAGGGUCAUAUGGUCUGGGAUUUGGGUAGCAUGGCUUAUUGGAGGGUCAGAUCAUGGAGAUAUAUGGAAAUAAUUGAAAUUUUAUGCUUGUAAAAAUAGUGAUAAAUUUGGCUACUUUGCACACAUACAAACAAAUAGAUGCUUUUAUAACAUUAUGACUAAAACACAUUCUGGUAAAACAUUGACUAUGUAACAGGGUUAUUUGAAAUUUAACCCUCCAGUAAGCCAUACUUCCUAGACUCAGAUGACACAACAUGGGUCACCUGGGUGGUGGUAAUGUAAAUUGUAGUGAUAUACUAGGGGGGAACCCCCCCAAAAAAAGAACCCCAGGAAUUAUCUUCUGGAGGGUGGGCCCCUUGUACUACAGGCUUCCCCUGGUAAUUGAGUGUUCUGGAAACCCAUCUGCAUCAGUGUAGCCAGCUGGGUUGUUGUGAGAGGCUGUGUUUGGCUUCAGUGAGAUUGUUUCGGAGACUCUUUCAACAUGUUUGCCUAUUUCGUGAUAGCUGAUUUGCAUGGACAAUGUGAGGUGGUGAAAUUUUGUUCAGUGGAGUGUUCAGCACUUUUUGACCAAAAAUGGUAUUCCCCUCGUGCCCCAUCCUCUAUAUUCACCAGAUCUCACCUUGUGUGAUUUUUUUUUGUUUUCCUGGAUGAAAAAAGCCCCCAAAGAGAAAUGUUUUGCUGAUGUGGAAGAGGUGACACAAAAAAAGGCAGAAACGCUAAAAGGCAUCGAAAUCGAUGAGAUCAAAACCUGUUUUGAGCAGUGCGAAGAAUGUUUUGAGGUGUAUUGCAUCAAAUGGGGAGUACUUUGAAGCCUCCCGCAACCUUGUGCCCUGCAUGUUUCAGACUUCAAUAUACAACACUUCCUAACCAUUGGCCAUGCUGCCUGAGGUUCAUGGAAGCUGAAAUCCAAAGUAUCUGGAAGGCUCCUGGUUGUAGAAGAUUGUCCCAAAACAACAAAGUGACUUUAAAUUAAUAAACAAGUGUUUUGAAAAAAAGUAUUGCUUAUUUUUCAAUAUUUCUCCAAAUUUCUGUUUUUUACUCAGAGAAAAAUGUUUUUGUUUCAUGGUUUCAGUUUCUGGGAAUCUUACAGCUCUAGCUUUGAGCACUGGGUUUAUGCCUCUAGGAAAUAACAUUUGUGGAGUAGUAAAAUUGAACAGCUUCAUCAGUGCAACUUUACUUUUCUGUUUCGUUGAUAACAAAUUAUUUGCAUCUGGGUCAACAAUAGGACCUUAACAAAACUGUUUAAUCUUGAUGAUUUUUGAAAAACUGGAUCAUAGUUGUCUACGUUCAAUUAAGGUUGAUUUGUCUUGUUCUUUUUUAUGGUGAUCUUUUAACAUUUGAAUUCAUUCCAAAAGCUUUUUAAUUUGUUCUAUUUUCUCUCUCUUUUUCUUAGAUGCUAUUGCUAAAAAAGUAUCCUUUCAUAUAUGCUUUCCUAGCUUCCCAUAUUGUUGCUGUAGAAACAUCACUUGUAUUAUUUAAUCUAAAAAAAAUUCCAAUUAUUUUCAGACUUCAUCAAAAUAUCUCCUUGUAAUAAAAGUUUAUCAUUCAUUCUCCAUCUUCUUCC